GUUUCUUUCCUUGGGUUUAAUUUACUCAAGUUGCUCCCAUCUGUUGGAGUCUGAUUGCUCCUUGGGAGCCAGGUAAGGUAUUUUGGUUGUACAAGUUUCGGCUGCAGAGGGGCCUGGGAACCUGUCCUGGGUCUGCUGCUAAGAGCUACAUAACCUGGGGCAUGUGACUUGACCUGACGCUUGAUGUUCUCACCUGUAAAAUGGGAGAGAACUAUUGCCUCAAAGGAUGGUUGGGAGGAUGGAAUGAGAAUACUCACGGAGCACUUGGCACUGCUCCUGGCACAAUGCUACCCCCCUAAUCUUCCUAGCAGGCUGAGGACAACCACAGGCCUCAGGAUGACAGAAUCCAAGGUUUUCGGGACUGGAAGAAGCCCCGACAACCCUCUCGGGCUGAGAAGAGUGCAGUCAUGUAGCAGGAGGGUGAAGAGGACAGCGAGCCAGGGUGGUCUCCACAAAGCACCGCCUGUGAAGGGGCUGGCACAGAAGCCAAAGAAAGAGUAUGCUGACCUGGGCCCCACUGGUUUCUUGGAACAACUGCUCUGUACUCUUUGGGCAAGAUGGAGAAGCCAGGGCUGAGUCUACCGACAGGCCCCCGUCUAGAAGGAAAACAUCAACAACCAAAAUUACAGUUAGGAAGAACUGCUUCCAUCUGCAAGUAACUGGGCAAUUACCUCCUAAUUAAGCUCUCAUUAAUUUGUUUUCCGAGCAUUACAGUAUCGUAGGUGCACCCCGCCCCACUUGUCACCGAGGUGUUGAGGAUGAAGCAUUUCACAUGAAUCAAGGUGGAACUCUUUCAUCUGAUUACAUGUCAUAGCCUGAUUUGUUCCAA